rnacentral:rRNA from 1 species
UUUCGCCUGUUUACCAAAAACAUCGCCUCUUGCAAGAAUAAGAGGUCCCGCCUGCCCGGUGACUAUAUGUUUAACGGCCGCGGUAUUUUGACCGUGCGAAGGUAGCGUAAUCACUUGUCUUUUAAAUGGAGACCUGUAUGAAUGGCAUAACGAGGGCUUAACUGUCUCCUCUUUCCAGUCAAUGAAAUUGAUUUCCCCGUGCAGAAGCGGGGAUAAACACAUAAGACGAGAAGACCCUAUGGAGCUUUAGACACCAAGACAGAGCAUGUUAAACACCCCCUGAUAAAGGCCCGAACUUAAUGACCCCCCUGUCCUAAUGUCUUCGGUUGGGGCGACCAUGGGGAAGCACAAAACCCCCAUGUGGAAUGGGAGAACUCCCACAAGCAAGAGCUACAACUCAAACUAGCAGAAUUUCUGACCUCUCAUGAUCCGGCGCUAGCCGAUCAACGGACCAAGUUACCCUAGGGAUAACAGCGCAAUCCCCUUUUAGAGCCCAUAUCGACAAGGGGGUUUACGACCUCGAUGUUGGAUCAGGACAUCCUAAUGGUGCAG